GCUCCGGUGGUGAAAUGGUAGACACAAUUGAUUCAAAAUCAAUUACUUAUAAAGUGUGGAGGUUCGAGUCCUCUUCGGAGCA
rnacentral:tRNA from 1 species